UUCCUACGGGACGCAGCAGUAGGGAAUCUUCCACAAUGGGCGAAAGCCUGAUGGAGCAACGCCGCGUGGGUGAAGAAGGUCUUCGGAUCGUAAAGCUCUGUCCUCAAGGAAGAUAAUGACGGUACUUGAGGAGGAAGCCCCGGCUAACUACGUGCCAGCAGCCGCGGUAAUACGUAGGGGGCUAGCGUUAUCCGGAAUUACUGGGCGUAAAGGGUGCGUAGGUGGUUUCUUAAGUCAGAGGUGAAAGGCUACGGCUCAACCGUAGUAAGCCUUUGAAACUGUUUUUCUUGAGUGCUGGAGAGGCA
rnacentral:rRNA from 1 species